AUACUAACCUUGCGUAGGGUGUACCGUGAUCAAGAAGGCGGAUGCCCCGGGCUGGCGCCAGCCAUUGCACUGCGGCUGGAAUAAGCUGGUCUGUGACUAUUCCACACUGGAAUACGUCGUACGUGUAAUUUUUGGUAGUUGGACUUGCGUUCUGCGCAGUCCAC